rnacentral:rRNA from 1 species
AACGCUGGCGGCGUGCUUAACACAUGCAAGUCGAACGGAAAGGCCCUGCUUUUGUGGGGUGCUCGAGUGGCGAACGGGUGAGUAACACGUGAGUAACCUGCCCUUGACUUUGGGAUAACUUCAGGAAACUGGGGCUAAUACCGGAUAGGAGCUCCUGCUGCAUGGUGGGGGUUGGAAAGUUUCGGCGGUUGGGGAUGGACUCGCGGCUUAUCAGCUUGUUGGUGGGGUAGUGGCUUACCAAGGCUUUGACGGGUAGCCGGCCUGAGAGGGUGACCGGCCACAUUGGGACUGAGAUACGGCCCAGACUCCUACGGGAGGCAGCAGUGGGGAAUAUUGCACAAUGGGCGGAAGCCUGAUGCAGCAACGCCGCGUGCGGGAUGACGGCCUUCGGGUUGUAAACCGCUUUCGCCUGUGACGAAGCGUGAGUGACGGUAAUGGGUAAAGAAGCACCGGCUAACUACGUGCCAGCAGCCGCGGUGAUACGUAGGGUGCGAGCGUUGUCCGGAUUUAUUGGGCGUAAAGGGCUCGUAGGUGGUUGAUCGCGUCGGAAGUGUAAUCUUGGGGCUUAACCCUGAGCGUGCUUUCGAUACGGGUUGACUUGAGGAAGGUAGGGGAGAAUGGAAUUCCUGGUGGAGCGGUGGAAUGUGCAGAUAUCAGGAGGAACACCAGUGGCGAAGGCGGUUCUCUGGGCCUUUCCUGACGCUGAGGAGCGAAAGCGUGGGGAGCGAACAGGCUUAGAUACCCUGGUAGUCCACGCUGUAAACGGUGGGUACUAGGUGUGGGGUCCAUUCCACGGGUUCCGUGCCGUAGCUAACGCUUUAAGUACCCCGCCUGGGGAGUACGGCCGCAAGGCUAAAACUCAAAGGAAUUGACGGGGCCCCGCACAAGCGGCGGAGCAUGCGGAUUAAUUCGAUGCAACGCGUAGAACCUUACCUGGGUUUGACAUGGAUCGGGAGUGCUCAGAGAUGGGUGUGCCUCUUUUGGGGUCGGUUCACAGGUGGUGCAUGGCUGUCGUCAGCUCGUGUCGUGAGAUGUUGGGUUAAGUCCCGCAACGAGCGCAACCCUUGUUCACUGUUGCCAGCACGUUAUGGUGGGGACUCAGUGGAGACCGCCGGGGUCAACUCGGAGGAAGGUGGGGAUGACGUCAAGUCAUCAUGCCCCUUAUGUCCAGGGCUUCACGCAUGCUACAAUGGCUGGUACAGAGAGUGGCGAGCCUGUGAGGGUGAGCGAAUCUCGGAAAGCCGGUCUCAGUUCGGAUUGGGGUCUGCAACUCGACCUCAUGAAGUCGGAGUCGCUAGUAAUCGCAGAUCAGCAACGCUGCGGUGAAUACGUUCCCGGGGCUUGUACACACCGCCCGUCAAGUCAUGAAAGUUGGUAACACCCGAAGCCGGUGGCCUAACCGUUGUGGGGGAGCCGUCGAAGGUGGGACUGGUGAUUAGGACUA